GCACCACCAGCUAGGGACCAAGAGUUGAACUUUUCACACUCGGACCACUGUAGCAAUCCAACCACAUGAUCUAACAAUGACGUAGGUGUGUAGUGGGAAGGGGAUUCAUAAUCCAGAAUGGCCUCACAUCGUCCUCGGUUUGCCAGAUAUCCAGGGAGUUGCUCAGACCUACAGUGUCCCAUGACUCCAGGAGACUCCAGCCUAGACUACAAACCCUUUACUGUCCAACAUUCCACAUAUCUCCUUCCAAAAACGUGAAAAACAGCAUCCUUCUCGGACUCUGACUCCACCAUCAUUCAAACAGCAGACAUUCAAUAAGCACUGCCACUCUAUAUUUGGAUUUCAGAGUGAGCUGUUCCCACCCAGCUGUCAUCGAUGAGGUGACUGUCCUCGGUCAGAGAACCGGCUGAGAGCCUCACAACACUAGGCUCCCUAACUCACUGCUCAGCUGCUGUUUCCAAAAACAGACUGUUUUUGAUGGAAAACACUGCCUCAUUUCAGAAUCGUGGCUCUCCUCCCUGCUGAACUUUCUUCUCCUACCCAACCCCAGCCAAAGGCUCUUUCCUAAUGGAAUCGCUGGAACCACUUACCGGCUGAGAAGAUGCUAACCUGCUGGGAGAGGAAGGAAGACAGCUGAGGGA
rnacentral:lncRNA from 1 species